CAGAUUGAACGCUGGCGGCAGGCCUAACACAUGCAAGUCGAGCGGAUGAAGGGAGCUUGCUCCUGGAUUCAGCGGCGGACGGGUGAGUAAUGCCUAGGAAUCUGCCUGGUAGUGGGGGAUAACGUCCGGAAACGGGCGCUAAUACCGCAUACGUCCUGAGGGAGAAAGUGGGGGAUCUUCGGACCUCACGCUAUCAGAUGAGCCUAGGUCGGAUUAGCUAGUUGGUGGGGUAAAGGCCUACCAAGGCGACGAUCCGUAACUGGUCUGAGAGGAUGAUCAGUCACACUGGAACUGAGACACGGUCCAGACUCCUACGGGAGGCAGCAGUGGGGAAUAUUGGACAAUGGGCGAAAGCCUGAUCCAGCCAUGCCGCGUGUGUGAAGAAGGUCUUCGGAUUGUAAAGCACUUUAAGUUGGGAGGAAGGGCAGUAAGUUAAUACCUUGCUGUUUUGACGUUACCAACAGAAUAAGCACCGGCUAACUUCGUGCCAGCAGCCGCGGUAAUACGAAGGGUG
rnacentral:rRNA from 1 species